rnacentral:rRNA from 1 species
GAUGAACGCUGGCGGCGUGCUUAACACAUGCAAGUCGAACGGUGAAGGCGGAGCUUGCUCUGCUGGAUCAGUGGCGAACGGGUGAGUAACACGUGAGCAAUCUGCCCCUGACUCUGGGAUAAGCGCUGGAAACGGCGUCUAAUACUGGAUACGAGCUGCGAAGGCAUCUUCGGCAGCUGGAAAGAAUUUCGGUCAGGGAUGAGCUCGCGGCCUAUCAGCUUGUUGGUGAGGUAAUGGCUCACCAAGGCGUCGACGGGUAGCCGGCCUGAGAGGGUGACCGGCCACACUGGGACUGAGACACGGCCCAGACUCCUACGGGAGACAGCAGUGGGGAAUAUUGCACAAUGGGCGAAAGCCUGAUGCAGCAACGCCGCGUGAGGGACGACGGCCUUCGGGUUGUAAACCUCUUUUAGCAGGGAAGAAGCGAAAGUGACGGUACCUGCAGAAAAAGCGCCGGCUAACUACGU